rnacentral:lncRNA from 1 species
GGACACCCCUAACAAUCCGGAGCAGGAAUCCUUUCUGCCCAGUUUGGUGCUGCAGACCGUUCUAAAGCAAGGCCGCCCUAAGGGCUACCAGCUCCUUCUGCCGACCACAAACCGGCAGCAGGCUCACAGGUGAAUGCCUGCCAGAGGCCCCCCUGCUCAGAAGUGUACCCAUGCCAGGCAAUGAGGAGAGUGCUUCUUCGCCCCACAAAUAAACACACCUCCCAGGUGGCUGGGAUGGAUCACUAGGUC